rnacentral:rRNA from 1 species
CCUUGCGGCAGCUUACACAUGCAGUCGAGCGGUAACAGGGGUAGCUUGCUACCCGCUGACGAGCGGCGGACGGGUGAGUAAUGCUUAGGAAUCUGCCCAGUAGUGGGGGACAACAAUCGGAAACGGUUGCUAAUACCGCAUACGUCCUACGGGAGAAAGCAGGGGAUCUUCGGACCUUGCGCUAUUGGAUGAGCCUAAGUCGGAUUAGCUAGUUGGUGGGGUAAUGGCCUACCAAGGCGACGAUCCGUAGCUGGUCUGAGAGGAUGAUCAGCCACAUCGGGACUGAGACACGGCCCGAACUCCUACGGGAGGCAGCAGUGGGGAAUAUUGGACAAUGGGGGAAACCCUGAUCCAGCCAUGCCGCGUGUGUGAAGAAGGCUUUCGGGUUGUAAAGCACUUUCAGUAGGGAGGAAAACCUUAUGGUUAAUACCCAUAGGGCUUGACGUUACCUACAGAAGAAGCACCGGCUAACUCCGUGCCAGCAGCCGCGGUAAU